GUCACAUACGACCACACCCAGCUGAGAAUACGGCAUCCCGUCCGCUCUGCCCGAGUCAAACAGCUGAGGGCCAGAUCAGUACUCAGGUCGGUGACGACUGGGGAAUCCCUGGUGUUGUAUGUAAUCUUUUG
rnacentral:rRNA from 1 species